GAACCUGGCUCCUUCCUGUAUUAUGCUCCCUUCGAUGGCAUCCUGGGGCUGGCCUACCCCAGCAUUUCCUCCUCCGGGGCCACACCCGUCUUUGACAACAUCUGGAACCAGGGCCUGGUUUCUCAGGACCUCUUCUCUGUCUACCUCAGCGC
rnacentral:sRNA from 1 species